CACGUAGGGGGCAAGCGUUGUCCGGAUUUAUUGGGCGUAAAGAGCUCGUAGGUGGUUCAGUAAGUCGGGUGUGAAAACUUCAGGCUCAACCUGGAGACGCCACCCGAUACUGCUGUGACUAGAGUCCAGUAGGGGAGCGUGGAAUUCCUGGUGUAGCGGUGAAAUGCGCAGAUAUCAGGAGGAACACCAGUGGCGAAGGCGGCGCUCUGGGCUGGCACUGACACUGAGGAGCGAAAGCGUGGGGAGCAAACAGG
rnacentral:rRNA from 1 species